AUUGAACGCUGGCGGCAGGCCUAACACAUGCAAGUCGAACGAGUGGCGGACGGGUGAGUAAUGUCUGGGAAACUGCCUGAUGGAGGGGGAUAACUACUGGAAACGGUAGCUAAUACCGCAUACCAUCGGAUGUGCCCAGAUGGGAUUGGCUAGUAGGUGGGGGAAAGGCUCACCCAGGCGACGAUCCCUAGCUGGUCUGAGAGGAUGACCAGCCCAACUGGAGCUGGGACACGGUCCAGACUCCCUCGGGAGGCAGCAGGGGGGAAUAUUGCACAAUGGGCGCAAGCCUGAUGCAGCCAUGCCGCGUGGAUGAAGAAGGGCUUCGGGUUGGAAAGUACUUUCAGCGGGGAGGCGUUUACCGCAGAAGAAGCACCGGCUAACUCCGUGCCAGCCGCCGCGGUAAUUCC
rnacentral:rRNA from 1 species